rnacentral:lncRNA from 1 species
UCAACUCUGUUGACCAGGCUGGAGUGCAGUGGCAAGAUCACAGCUCACUGCAGCUUCCAACUCCUGGGCUCAAGCGAUCCUUCUGCCUUAGUCUCCUGGGUAUCUGGCACUACUGGCGUGCACCAUCAUGCCCAGCUAAUUUUUAAUUGUUUGUAGAGAUGGGGUCUCACUACAUUGCCCAGGCUGGUCGGUCUCGAAGUCUUGGGCUCCAGUGAUCCUCCCACCUUGGCUUCCCAAAGUGCUGGGAUUACAGGCAUGACCAUUCUCAGCUUUUGUUCUACCAAUUGUCUUCACCUUAGAAAACUGCAAUGCUGUUCUUUUACUCAGGCACUUACCCUUUUAGUUACUUUUCUCCUUUCUCUCCAACAACUCUGCAUGAAGUCUCUCAGAAAACUGUUCUAACUUCAAAAUGUACCUUGAAUCUGCCCAUUUCGUCCCACCUAUACUCUACUACCUUAGUCUGAGCCACCGUCUCCUCCCCUGGAAUACUGGGGUAACAAUCUUAUUUUGCCCCUUUUUUCCACUUGUCCCUGCCUGAGUACAAAGACUGUUUUCCAGAAUGGUCUUUUAAAAAUGUAAAUAAGCCCCUGUGACUCCUCUGCUCCAAAGCCUUCAAUGGCUUCCCAUUCACUCUAAUGAAAUUCCAAGUCCUCACCUAAGCCCUAAAUAUCCUGGUCCCUGGCUACUUUCUGAUGUCUUCUAUUGCGCUCCCAGUCCCUGACUCUGUACCAGCGACCUUGCUAUUUCUGGAACCUACUGAGGACACUGCUGCCUCAAGGGCUUCAUUUCUCUACUUGGAGACCUCUUUGCCCAGGGGUUUGCAUGGCUUACCCUAUCCUUUCAUUCUAGAGUCUGCUCAAAUGUGAUCUCCGAAGAGAGGCCUUCCCUGACUAUGCCAUCUAAACAUCCCUCGUUCCCAUCCCUCUUUCAUCCUUUUAUUUAGCUGCUUUCCUCCAAAAUACUUAGGACCGAUGUUGUAAAUUUGUUUAAACAUUGUCUUCCCCACUGGAAUGGGAGGGCACAAGUGCAUGGGCUUGCUUUGUUGGCUGCUGAAUUACUGCACCCAGCAGCACACCAGGCACAGGGUGGGUACUCAAAUAUUGGUUGGAACAAAUCAUUGCUUUUAACCUGAGGGCUGAGGAAAGAGAAUUGUUUGAACUGGGGAGGCAGAGGUUGCAGUGAGCUGAGAUGGUGCCAUUGCACACCAGCAUGGGUGACAAGAGUCAAACUCCAUCUCAAAAAAAUAAUUAUAGGUUGGGCACGGUGGCUCAAGCCUGUAAUCCUAGCACUUUGGGAGGCUGAGGCGGGUGGAUCACAAGGUCAGGAGCUUGAGACCAGCCUGGCCAACACAGUGAAACCCCUCUCUACUAAAAAUAAAAUCAGCCAGGCGUGAUGGAUGCCUGUAAUCCCAGCUACUUGGGAGGCUGAGGCAGGGAGAAUCGCUUGAACCCGGGAGGUGGAAAGUUGCAGUGAGCCGA